AAUAUGACCACGAGACCGAUAGCGAACAAGUACCGUGAGGGAAAGUUGAAAAGCACUUUGAAGAGAGAGUUCAAGAGUACGUGAAACCGUUCAGGGGUAAACCUGAGAAACCCGAAAGGUCGAAGGGAGAAAUUCACCGCGUCUCGCUACCGGCGGGAGACGGUCGUGCGACGGGGCGUGCGUUCGCGCGCGCCCCGCGCCUUCCGUUUUCGGAUCCGGCGGCGAACGCGUGCACUUUUCUUCCGGUAGGACGUCGCGAUCCGUUGGGCGUCGGUCUACGGCGGGCGGUGGAGCCCGGAUGCGUCUAGUGCGCGUUCGGACCCGUCCGUUCCGGCCGACUCGCCCGACGGUAAACCGAGAAGGUUAAGGGCCGCUCCUAGGAGCGUUCGACUCGCGGCAAGCGCGUCAGACGUAUCGGCGAUCGGACCUGGUGCCGGUUCCGAUCUCUGGCGACUGUUGGCUGCGAAGUUCUCGAACAGACCCACGACCGAUCGGCGACGCUAUAGCUUUGGGUACUUUCAGGACCCGUCUUGAAACACGGACCAAGGAGUCUAGCAUGUGCGCGAGUCAUUGGGAAACACUAAACCUAAAGGCGCAAUGAAAGUGAAGGUCCGCCUCGCGCGGACUCGGGGAGGAAGGGCGGUUCGCCCUUAAAAGCGGCCGCCCCGCACUCCCGGGGCGUCUCGUUCUCAUCGCGAGAAGAGGCGCACCGAGAGCGUACACGCUGGGACCCGAAAGAUGGUGACCUAUGC
rnacentral:rRNA from 1 species